rfam:Oryza rufipogon genomic scaffold, chr04
UCUCCGUCCUUUUUCGUGCCCAACGUUUGACCAUCCGUCUUAUUUAAAAAAAAUUAUGAAAAAAAAUUAAAAAGUCAAGUCACACAUAAAAUAUUAAUCAUGUUUUAUCACCUAACAAUAAUAAAAAUAUGAAUUAUAAAAAAAAAUUAUAUAAGACGGACAGUCAAAGUUGAACACAAAAAUCCAGUGUUUGACUUUUU